AUUGAACGCUGGCGGCAUGCCUUACACAUGCAAGUCGAACGGCAGCACGGGAGCAAUCCUGGUGGCGAGUGGCGAACGGGUGAGUAAUAUAUCGGAACGUGCCCAGUCGUGGGGAUAACGUAGCGAAAGCUACGCUAAUACCGCAUACGAUCUAUGGAUGAAAGCGGGGGGAUCGCAAGACCUCGCGCGAUUGGAGCGGCCGAUAUCAGAUUAGGUAGUUGGUGAGGUAAAGGCUCACCAAGCCGACGAUCUGUAGCUGGUCUGAGAGGACGACAGCCACACUGGGACUGAGACACGGCCCAGACUCCUACGGGAGGCAGC
rnacentral:rRNA from 1 species